UGGCUCUCGCAUCGAUGAAGAACGCAGCGAAAUGCGAUAAGUAAUGUGAAUUGCAGAAUUCAGUGAAUCAUCGAAUCUUUGAACGCACCUUGCGCUCCUUGGUAUUCCGAGGAGCAUGCCUGUUUGAGUGUCUUGAAGUCAUCAACCCCUCCGGUUUCUUCUUGGGACCGAGAGAAGGUUGGAUCCUGGGGGCUUUGCUGCCGCGAGGCUGCUCCCCUCAAAUGCGUCGGUCGGACCUUGCGUGGUCGGACCCGAUCGGGCGUUGUAACCAUCCUCGCUCUUGGUCGGGACGUCUCCAUCCCGCAAUCCUGCGUCCUUCCACGGCUUGCCUUCAGAGUGGCGGCCAUCGUAAUUCAUUACACUUUGAAAUCUGACCUCAAAUCAGGCAGGACUACCCGCUGA
rnacentral:misc_RNA from 1 species